rnacentral:rRNA from 1 species
UUGAUCAAGCUACAAAGAGCGCAUCAUGGAUGCCUUGGUGCCAAUAGGCGAUGAAGGACGUGGCAAGCUGCGAUAAGUCACGGAGAGCGGCAAACACGCUUUGACCCGUGAAUUUCCGAAUGGGGUAACCUGAGCGGGGUAACACCUGCUCGAGUUCCUGUGAAUCCAUAGCAGGAACAUCGCGACACCCGGCGAAGUGAAACAUCUCAGUAACCGGAGGAAAAGAAAUCGAAAGAGAUUCCGUCAGUAGUGGCGAGCGAAAGCGGAACAGGCUAAACCCAGCUACUUCGAGCUAUUUCUACAGACCCAUGUAUUACGUUUAUAUUCUCAAACAUCCGACUGAAGACGACAUUUACAUUGGCUUCAGCACGGACCUGCGCACUCGAAUGAAGGCUCACAAGAGCGAACAUCGGGAAUGGCGGCUGGCGUAUUACGAGGCAUACGCUUCAGAGACCGACGCCAGAGCGAGAGAGCGGCGACUGAAAUAUCACGGCAACGUGAAGCAAUUGUUGAAGAAACGAAUCAUGAGGAGCCUGGAGAUGGUUUGAAGUAGCUGGGGGUUGUAGGAGCCCGACGUGGUAGUGCAAAGGUUAGGUGAAGCUUCUGGAAAGCUGCGCCAUAGAGGGUGAAAGGCCCGUAACCGAAAACCCAAGCACGCCUAGGGAUUUCCUGAGUAAUACGAUGCACGUGAAACUUCGUAUGAAUCUGCGCCGACCACGGCGUAAGCCUAAAUACUCAUUGGCGACCGAUAGUGAACAAGUACCGCGAGGGAAAGGUGAAAAGAACCGCUGCGAGCGGAGUGAAAUAGUACCUGAAAUGAUGUGCUUACAAGGUGUCAGAGCUGGCGCAAGCUGGUGAUGGCGUGCCUUUUGCUUAAUGAGUCUGCGAGUUACUAUCAGUGGCGAGCCUAAGGCGUUCUGCGCUGGAGGCGAAGCGAAAGCGAGUCCGAAAUGGGCGAUUUUAGUCGCUGGUAGUAGACCCGAAGCGGAGGUGAUCUACCCAUGAGCAGGAUGAAGGUUGCUUAACCGCAACUGAAGGUCCGAACCCGUGACGGUUGAAAACGU